rnacentral:ncRNA from 1 species
GAGAGCCGUGUGCUCUGAAAGGUGCACGCACGGUUCGGAGGGGGGCUUCUGAUAUCCUAUGGAGACAUAGGACUUGGUCGUCCUACCCUAC